rnacentral:tRNA from 1 species
CGCAGACGGUGCGGUUGCCGUACAUGUCGUUCAGGGUGGCGAAGGUGGAGGCGGUGACUUCCCAGGUGCGGGUGCCGGGGUUGGUGACCA